GUUCUCUUGAGCUCUAGUGGAGGGAGAAAGGUUAAGCACAAUCUGGCAUCCUUUUGCAAGGAUUGGUGUAUAUAUGAUAGAACGCUUGGAGUCUAACAAUACCUAUGGGAGUGCAGCAACAGUUAUAAAUUCAGACCCAGAUUAUGGCGGCUGUAUGGUGACUCCGGAGAUGUUUGUACUUGGUGAAAAUGAAAUGAGCUGGUUCAAGUCCCGCGAGUACUGCAUGAAAAAUGCUUAUCUGUUUGCCAGGCUCAACAAUGAAAGCAGCCAGACUAAGAUGGCCUUAAACAUGACAUUUGAAGAACCCACGGAGGGCUGGAUCAGUCUGCGCCGCAGCUUGUACUCAACAGACUGGUACUGGAAAAACGAAGACACUUUCUCACCUUACGUGGACUUCACUUACUGGGAGAAAGGACAGCCUGAAAAACCGGAGAAAGGCUUGUGCGCCUUGGUUUCCCUGGAUCCCAACAAGAACUUCAAGUGGAAGAGUGGACGCUGCUGUUCUAAAAAGAAGCCUGUUUGCUAUAAAAGACCAAAAUACUUCACUUUAUGAGAUACUUUGUAAACAACAGAUGUCUUGAAGACUUGUGACCUCCAAAAAUUUGCUUCCAGAACUAUCUUUAGGGAUCAGUAUAGAUUGGUUUGAUUUUCAUGCUCAACAUUUAUCUGUCUAUACAUAGUGAGGCCCCUAUAUUAGACUAGAUUUAGAAAAUGUUAUCUGGUGGGCAAUGACAUAGAUCUAGCAAUAAUAUUAACAGUGAAAAGAAAACUUGUAUUGCAGACUUUUUAGGUUAAAUAUAACUAUUAAAAAUUAGCGUGUAAGUUGAGAUGCAUUUUGAUCUGUAUCCAGACUAAGAUUUAAACAGUGAUUAUUA
rnacentral:lncRNA from 1 species